UACGUAGGGUGCAAGCGUUGUCCGGAAUUAUUGGGCGUAAAGAGCUCGUAGGCGGUUUGUUGCGUCGGCUGUGAAAUCCCGAGGCUCAACCUCGGGUCUGCAGUCGAUACGAGCAAACUAGAGUGUUGCAGGGGAGACUGGAAUUCCUGGUGUAGCGGUGAAAUGCGUAGAUAUCGCUUGGAACGCCGAAGGUGAAAACAGGCUGCUGGGGUUGUGCCGACGCUGAGGCACGAAAGCCAGGGGAGCAAACGGG
rnacentral:rRNA from 1 species